GCCCAGUUAGCCUAGUUGGUAGGGUAUUAGAUCCUUAAUCUCAGGGUCGUGAGUUCAAGCCCCACAUUGGGCU